AUGUUCUAUUACGGGCUAGAUUUUCAUGAUCUAGCUCCGGACUCCAUCCUUCACAUCUCGUCGUUUAUCGUCGUGUGCGAAGCCUUCCUCCACAUCACCCCGCACUUCGGCUUAUGGCUCAAGACCUUCAAUGUAAAGCCGAAGGCGAUCGAGGGGCGACACGUGGAGUGCGGAGGCGCUGCAAUAAGCAGAAACGCCGAUGCCCCAUGGCCAGAGGGCUUCUUCCCGGAGGUGUCCGAUCUAUGGCAGCGGAGGUGGUUCUCCAUCAUGGCUCCCAGAGGCACAAAGUGGGUGGCUGCCCCCGACUUCCGCUCGGGCCCUCCGCCUCAACUGGCAUCGUGGGCCAACGUGGGACUGGAUUGGGGGCCUACUAAUGAUGUACCGACAUUGCAGAGCCGCAUUCGGGAGCUUCUUGAGAGGGACAUCAGUCUUGUCAGCGUAAUUCAGGUAAUGCUAGUCCGACGGAUCUUGCCGUGCAAACGUCGGCCUCUCCAGAUGUGGGAGUUCAACCCGGAAGGUCCGCGGACUAUUCAUCACUUCUUCGACAUGACGCUCGAAGGGAUGUGUAGGUUAUUCUUCGGACCACAAGUAAAGUGUCCGGACACCACCGAGGAUGCGGGCCUGAGCUGCAACCGCCCAGAUACCCAAGUAAGUAACCUAGAAACCGAACACUUCGUUUAUAUUUAUCACAACAUUAUUCUGAAAACCAUCCGCGACCAGUAUUGGCUCAGCAAGGCGGAGAGAAUCAGUUGUCCAGCACCACUUCCCGAAGGCUCGCCUAGUCCUGCAAUAGCCAGGAUGCUUAGUCGUGUGCUAAGUCAAGUGCCCUCGGGCAAAGACGAAGGGAAGAACAGAGAAGCAGAGCUUCACACAUUGCACACCCAAACCGGGGGAAUUACUAUUUCCAUGAAGGAGGAUAGUCGGGCAGGGGAAUCUAAGGUCUCCUCCCCCCGCGGGAAGAAGAGGGCCGCCUCUGAAGACUUGGAGACGGAGGUGCCUAGACAAGGGAAGAAAACUUCAUGA
rnacentral:rRNA from 1 species